CCUACGGGAGGCAGCAGUGGGGACUAUUGCACAAUGGGGGAAACCCUGAUGCAGCGACGCCGCGUGAGUGAAGAAGUAUUUCGGUAUGUAAAACUCUAUCAGCAGGGAAGAAACCCACCCUCCGGGGUGGCUGACGGUACCUGACUAAGAAGCCCCGGCUAACUACGUGCCAGCAGCCGCGGUAAUACGUAGGGGGCAAGCGUUAUCCGGAUUUACUGGGUGUAUAGGGAGCGUAGGUGGCAAGGCAAGUCAGUUGUGAAAACGCGGGGCCCAACCCCAGGAGUGCAUUUGAAACUGUCGGGCUAGAGUGCAGUAGAGGUAAGUGGAAGUCCUAGUGUAGCGGUGAAAGGCAUAGAUAUUAGGAGGAACACCAGUGGCGAAGGCGGCUUACUGGACUGUAACUGACACUGAGGCUCGAAAGCGUGGGGAUCAAACAGGAUGAGAUACCCCUGUAGUC
rnacentral:rRNA from 1 species